GCAUUGAUAGUGUAGGGGUAUCAUGAGUCGUUGCCAGUCUCAUACAUCUGUGUUAAGGUGUGUUAAAUCCACUCGAUUCGACUCGACCGGGGUUCGAGUCCCCGUCAAUGCA